rnacentral:rRNA from 1 species
GAUGAACGCUGGCGGCGUGCCUAAUACAUGCAAGUCGAGCGAACAGACGAGGAGCUUGCUCCUCUGACGUUAGCGGCGGACGGGUGAGUAACACGUGGAUAACCUACCUAUAAGACUGGGAUAACUUCGGGAAACCGGAGCUAAUACCGGAUAAUAUAUUGAACCGCAUGGUUCAAUAGUGAAAGACGGUUUUGCUGUCACUUAUAGAUGGAUCCGCGCCGCAUUAGCUAGUUGGUAAGGUAACGGCUUACCAAGGCAACGAUGCGUAGCCGACCUGAGAGGGUGAUCAGCCACACUGGAACUGAGACACGGUCCAGACUCCUACGGGAGGCAGCAGUAGGGAAUCUUGCGCAAUGGGCGAAAGCCUGACGGAGCAACGCCGCGUGAGUGAUGAAGGUCUUCGGAUCGUGAAACUCUGUUAUUAGGGAAGAACAAAUGUGUAAGUAACUAUGCACGUCUUGACGGUACCUAAUCAGAAAGCCACGGCUAACUACGUG